CCUACGGGAGGCAGCAGUGAGGAAUAUUGGUCAAUGGAGGCAACUCUGAACCAGCCAUCCCGCGUGAAGGAUUGAAGGCGCUCGACGUCGUAAACUUCUUUUAUAUAGGAAUAAACCUUGGUACGUGUACCAAGCUGAAGGUACUGUAUGAAUAAGCAUCGGCUAACUCCGUGCCAGCAGCCGCGGUAAU
rnacentral:rRNA from 1 species